rnacentral:lncRNA from 1 species
UAAAGCCUAAGCCCGGUCGAGAGCAGGCUAUUGCCAUUGUGGAUCCCGAACUUAUUGUGCUUGGUCCUUAAAUGGAUAAAAUUAAAGCCCAAGAUUGUUUAUAGGGCAAUUGUUAUUAAUAGCACAUUUUGAGUUUUUGUCUCAAAAAUAGUACUAAAAAGAGAAAGUCACAAAAACGACAUUCAUUAAAGGGUAAAAUAUCUCUAAUAUUCUUGAUUUAAAAUUAAAUAAACAAACAAAAAUAAAUAAAAACAAAUAAAAUUAAAAUUAAAAAAAAAACUUUUUUAUAGUUUCAGAUUAUAUGUUUUCAGAUUCAAUUUUUUUUUUUAAUUUUUUUGAAUUUUUUUUUCGAACUUUUUUUUAUUUUUUUUUCCAAAUUUUUUUUAUAAUUCAAAAAUACUUUUUGAAACUGUUUUUUAAUUUUUAUUUUUAAUUUUUUAGUAUUUAUUUUUAUUUUAUAAAAUUUUAAACCCUAAUUCCAAAACUGCACCCCCUUAACUCUAAACCCUAAGGUUAGAUUAAUUAACCCAAAGGGUAUAAGUGUAUAUUUACUUCUUUAAUGAAACCUAUUUUUGUGACUUUGAGCCUUGAGUACUAGUUUAGGAACAAAAACUUGGUUUAGUGCUAUUCUAGUCUUUUUCUCUUGUUUAUAUUCAUUACUAGGUGUUUUACCCGCGACGCGGGCUUACAUUUUCAUAAUUUUUUGAAAGAUUUUUUGUACACUAUAUUCAUUACUAAAAAAAAUCUUAAAAUAACCUAAUAUUAUAUUUUAAUUAUAUAAUUAAAAAAAAUUAUUUGAUUAAUAUUUAAUUAUAUAAUUU